UGCCGAAGCACCGUCGCUCCGCAGAAUUCGCGUUUCUCGCUAUUCGCUCGAGAUAAUCGCGCCAUAAAUAAAUUUACGGGUAAUAAGAGUGAGAGUGAGAUGCGCAGGAAAAUUUCCCGAGCUUCCGUAACAGAUUAUAGGCCCGAGACACAAUCUUGCUAGGCAAUUACGAGAGGAACUUGUUCAGGAGAUCUUUCAACAUAAUCGUGUGGAGACUGCUGACACCGUUCGAGCGUUUAAGGUUAUGUCCUGCAGGUAUUGUUUAGGCUCCUUUUAACCUGGUCAUUUUUUGGCGAAUGGGAGGGCGAAUAAAAACGCCCCUGUGGAUCUGUAGCAGCAGAGAAACACCACCUGUAACAUCUUGCACGAUAGACGCGGCCCGAUAUCUCGAAUCUGAAUCAUCCUCGCUUUUAAUUACGGUGUUCGUCUGCUAAACAAUUAUCCCCGAACGACGGCGAGCGGUUCCGUACGCGCGCCGCUAUCGUCCCUUCUUUUAUUUCGCCAACGCGUGUACGUGGCCCAUAGACGGGGUGGUUAGGGUCGGCGGAUCGAGAGCCACGUCUCAUGUAAUUUUCAUCGAGUGGGUGGAUACCCAUUAUUUCGCAUUACAGACUUCUUACGGGGCACGGAUCGUCCCGUCGAAUCGCGGGCCCCUAUCGCGACUUCGCGUUACGUUCGCACGUCCACCGACCUGUUAACGUUUUCUCGCGUCGGCGACUUUCGAUCUUCUCGCCGAGAGGCUGAGAGGGAGGGAUAUAUAAAAUUCGACGUCUGUAUGUGACAUUCCUGUGACUUCCAUUA